AAUUAAUAUUUUAUUAUUGUUGUUAUUAUUUUUUUAUUUAAUUUAAAUAAAAUAUUUUUUAUUAUUUUUAAGAAAAAAUUAUCUAUUAUUAUAGUAAAUUAGUAUUGUGAAAGAAAAUUUUUAAAAUUAAUUGAAAGAAAAAUUUAAUAUUUGUACCUUGUGUAUCAGGGUUUAUUAAAAUAUGGUAAAUAUUUAUAAUUCUCGAUUUUAAAAGAGUUAAAAAUAUAUUAUUGUUUAUGUAUUAUAAUAAUGUUUAAUAUGUUUUUAGUAAUAAAAUGUUAUUCGUUUUUAAAUAUAUCUAGUUUUUUAAGAAAUAUAUUUAAUAUAUUUAUUAUUAAUAAAAUUUUUAUUGUAUAGAUUUUUAUUAAUAAUGAAAAAUAUUUUUAGGGAUGAGCUUAAAAAUAAAUGUUUAUUAAAAUUUAAAUUUAAAAUAAAAAUUAGGAUUAAAAAUUUUCUUAUUUUAAAGUAUGUUAUUAUUUAUUUUUAUUUAAAAUUAUUUAAAUUUUUUAUAAGUUUUUUAUUAAAAUAUAAAUGUAAAUUUUUAAAAUUUAGUAAUUAUGAUAAAAUUAGUAUAUAUAUAUAAGAUUGUAUUAAUAUAAUGAAUUUAUAGGUUAUAUAAAGGAAUUCGGCAAUUAUAUUUUCACCUGUUUAUUAAAAACAUGUCUUUUUGGUAUUUCUUUAAAGUCUUGCCUGCCCACUGAAUUAUAAAUGGCCGCGGUACUUUGACCGUGCUAAGGUAGCAUAAUCAUUAGUUUUUUAAUUAGAAGCUGGAAUGAAGGGUUGGAUGAGAAAUAUUCUGUCUCUGUAUAAAUUUAAAUAAAAUUUUAUUUUUAAGUUAAAAAGCUUAAAUGUAUUUAAAAGACGAGAAGACCCUAUAGAGUUUUAUAUUUUUAUAUUUUAAAAAUUUUAGAAUUUUGUUAUUUUUAUAUUAUAAUAAUAUUUUAUUGGGGUGAUUGAAAAAUUUAAUUAACUUUUUAUUUAUAUGAACAUUAAUAUAUGAUUGUUUGAUCCAAUUUUAUUGAUUAUAAGAAUAAUUACCUUAGGGAUAACAGCGUAAUUUUAUUAGAGAGUUCUAAUCGAUAAUAAAGAUUGCGACCUCGAUGUUGGAUUAAAGUUUAUAUUUGGUGUAGAAGCUAAAUUAUUAAGUCUGUUCGACUUUUAAAAUUUUACAUGAUCUGAGUUUAAACCGGUGUGAGCCAGGUUGGUUUCUAUCUUUAAUUAAAUAAUUUAUUUUAGUACGAAAGGACCAGAUAUAUAAAUUUAAUUUUAUUUUUGAAUUAAAAU
rnacentral:rRNA from 1 species